CCUACGGGUGGCAGCAGUGGGGAAUAUUGGACAAUGGGGGGAACCCUGAUCCAGCGACGCCGCGUGAGUGAAGAAGUAUUUCGGUAUGUAAAGCUCUAUCAGCAGGGAAGAAAGGAAUGACGGUACCUGACUAAGAAGCCCCGGCUAACUACGUGCCAGCAGCCGCGGUAAUACGUAGGGGGCAAGCGUUAUCCGGAUUUACUGGGGGUAAAGGGAGCGUAGACGGUUACGCAAGUCUGGAGUGAAAGGCGGGGGCCCAACCCCCGGACUGCUUUGGAGACUGGAUAACUGGAGUGAAGGAGAGGUAAGUGGAAUUCCUAGGGUAGCGGUGAAAUGCGUAGAUAUUAGGAAGAACACCAGUGGCGAAGGCAGCUUACUGGACUGUAACUGACGUUGAGGGUCGAAAGCGUGGGGAGCAAACAGGAUUAGAUACCCGGGUAGUC
rnacentral:rRNA from 1 species